rnacentral:rRNA from 1 species
UACGGAGGGUGCAAGCGUUAUCCGGAUUCACUGGGUUUAAAGGGUGUGUAGGCGGGUCUGUAAGUCAGUGGUGAAAUCUCCGAGCUCAACUUGGAAACUGUCCAUUGAUACUAAUAGAUCUUGAAUUUUGUUGAGGUAGGCGGAAUAUGUCAUGUAGCGGUGAAAUGCAUAGAUAUGACAUAGAACACCGAUUGCGAAGGCAGCUUACUAAGCAAAUAUUGACGCUGAGGCACGAAAGCGUGGGGAUCAAACAGG